GCCAGGUACAGUGGUGCAUGCCUGUAAUCCUAGCUACUCAGGAGGAUGAGGCAGAAGGAUCACAAGUUUGAGGCCAGCCUCAGCAACUUAGAGAGACCCUGUCUCAA
rnacentral:sRNA from 1 species